GUGGGUAGAGCUCAGUGGUAGAGCACAUGUUUAGCAUGCAUGAGGUCCUGGGUUCAAUCCCCAGCACUUCCA
rnacentral:tRNA from 1 species